rnacentral:rRNA from 1 species
GGGCACUUUAGAGAGACUGCCGGUGUUAAGCCGGAGGAAGGUGGGAUGACGUCAAGUCCUCAUGGCCUUUAUGUCUAGGGCUACACACGUGCUACAAUGGGUGGUACAAAGAGCAGCUAACUCGCGAGAGUAUGCAAAUCUCAAAAAGCCAUCCUCAGUUCGGAUUGGAGUCUGCAACUCGACUCCAUGAAGUUGGAAUCGCUAGUAAUCGCGGAUCAGCAUGCCGCGGUGAAUACGUUCCCGGGCCUU